rnacentral:tRNA from 1 species
UCCCUGGUGGCUCAGUGGUAAAGAAUCUGCCUGCCAAGUAGGGAAUACAGGUUCAAUCCCUGGUCUGGGAA